CCCUUAGAUGUCCUGGGCCGCACGCGUGCUACACUGACACCUGCAACGAGUUAUUCCAGCUCCGAAAGGCAGUUGGUAAUCAGAAAUAGGUGUCGUGAUGGGGAUAGACCCUUGGAAUUAUGGAUCUUGAACGAGGAAUGCCUAGUAAGCGCACGUCAUUAGCGUGCGCUGAUUAAGUCCCUGCCCUUUGUACACACCGCCCGUCGCUCCUACCGAUGGGGUGAUCCGGUGAAUGAUUCGGACUUCCGCAGUGCUAGCUACUAGCUUUGUGGAAGAAAGUCUUGUGAACCUUAUCACUUGGAGGAAGGAGAANUCGUANCA
rnacentral:rRNA from 1 species